AUUGAACGCUGGCGGAAUGCUUUACACAUGCAAGUCGAACGGUAGAGGGGCAACCCCUUGAGAGUGGCGAACGGGUGAGUAAUAUAUCGGAACGUGCCCAGUCGUGGGGGAUAACGUAGCGAAAGUUACGCUAAUACCGCAUACGAUCUAAGGAUGAAAGCGGGGGAUCGCAAGACCUCGCGCGAUUGGAGCGGCCGAUAUCAGAUUAGGUAGUUGGUGAGGUAAAGGCUCACCAAGCCAACGAUCUGUAGCUGGUCUGAGAGGACGACCAGCCACACUGGAACUGAGACACGGUCCAGACUCCUACGGGAGGCAGCAGUGGGGAAUUUUGGACAAUGGACGCAAGUCUGAUCCAGCCAUUCCGCGUGCAGGAUGAAGGCCCUCGGGUUGUAAACUGCUUUUGUACGGAACGAAAAGGUUUCUAUUAAUACUAGGAGCUCAUGACGGUACCGUAAGAAUAAGCACCGGCUAACUACGUG
rnacentral:rRNA from 1 species